rnacentral:tRNA from 1 species
GCAUCCUUAGCUCAAUUGGAUAGAGUAGCGGACUUCGAAUCCGUUGGUUACAGGUUCGAGCCCUGUAGGGUGCACCA